UCGGGUUGUAAAGCACUUUUGUCCGGAAAGAAAUGGCUCUGGUUAAUACCCGGAGUCGAUGACGGUACCGGAAGAAUAAGGACCGGCUAACUACGUGCCAGCAGCCGCGGUAAUACGUAGGGUCCAAGCGUUAAUCGGAAUUACUGGGCGUAAAGCGUGCGCAGGCGGUUGUGCAAGACCGAUGUGAAAUCCCCGGGCUUAACCUGGGAAUUGCAUUGGUGACUGCACGGCUAGAGUGUGUCAGAGGGAGGUAGAAUUCCACGUGUAGCAGUGAAAUGCGUAGAGAUGUGGAGGAAUAC
rnacentral:rRNA from 1 species